rnacentral:rRNA from 1 species
UACGUAGGGUGCAAGCGUUGUCCGGAAUUAUUGGGCGUAAAGAGCUUGUAGGCGGUUUGUCGCGUCUGCUGUGAAAUUUCGGGGCUCAACCCCGAACUUGCAGUGGGUACGGGCAGACUAGAGUGUGGUAGGGGAGACUGGAAUUCCUGGUGUAGCGGUGAAAUGCGCAGAUAUCAGGAGGAACACCGGUGGCGAAGGCGGGUCUCUGGGCAGUAACUGACGCUGAGGAGCGAAAGCGUGGGGAGCGAACAGG